GAAGAUUAAUAAUCAUGAAUAGGAUUUCUCGGAUAUAAGGGCUCUUACAUGGUCCGCAAAAGAGAUAGUGAAGGAUUUUUAGGUCUGCGCCUUCCACUUCAUUGGUAGAUCUGGGAACAAAACAACGUAUGCAAUGGCACAAGAGGGAUUAAAUCAAGGCGAGGAUGGCUAUUGGGUAGAAGAUGCUCCGACAUUGGUAGAAGCAGUAGCUGCAGAAGACUGUCGUCUUCAUGAGCCUCUAUAGAACUGUUGGUUUUCUUCGAAGGGUUGUGAGGAUUUGCAUUCUGAUGAUUCCAUUUCUUGUUUGGUUGCUCUCUAUCUAGUAUUGUUAAUGAUCUUGUUUGAGCAAUUGCAGGUUGGAAUCCCACGACUGAGGGAUUCGUUUUAGUGUUUUCCUUGUAACUGUUGAUUCUUUUAAUUGUUUUUCUUUGUUCCGUUCUUUAAUAAAGAGGCCGACUUUUGAGUUAAGA
rnacentral:lncRNA from 1 species